rnacentral:rRNA from 1 species
GACGAACGCUGGCGGCGUGCUUAACACAUGCAAGUCGAACGGAAAGGCCCUGCUUUUGUGGGGUGCUCGAGUGGCGAACGGGUGAGUAACACGUGAGUAACCUGCCCUUGACUUUGGGAUAACUUCAGGAAACUGGGGCUAAUACCGGAUAGGAGCUCCUGCUGCAUGGUGGGGGUUGGAAAGUUUCGGCGGUUGGGGAUGGACUCGCGGCUUAUCAGCUUGUUGGUGGGGUAGUGGCUUACCAAGGCUUUGACGGGUAGCCGGCCUGAGAGGGUGACCGGCCACAUUGGGAUUGGGAUACGGCCCAGACUCCUACGGGAGGGAGCAGUGGGAAGUAUUCCACAAUGGGCGGAAGCCUGAUGCAGCAACGCCGCGUGCGGGAUGACGGCCUUCGGGUUGUAAACCGCUUUCGCCUGUGACGAAGCGUGAGUGACGGUAAUGGGUAAAGAAGCACCGGCUAACUACGUG